AUCCGGCAGACCUUCCUUGGAUGAUCUCCCUACAAGGUCUCUUCGCCUUCUGCGGUAGAUCUUCUCGGAUCGUCUCUUAGAUUUCCUACAAGGCGACUUCUCUCUCUAGCUAUUCAUGGUGCCGUGAUUUUGCUAGGCAUCAAGAGAUGGUCUCUUUGGAUUUCCUAUGAGACGAAUCCUUUACUUGACUUCGAUUUGCUAGAGUUUUUGGGGCUUUUUCACGGUGUGGUGGUUUUAUGCAGAGGUAUUUUCUGCACCCAAUUACCUCUGUGAAGGUAGUAGAUAUGCUGAAGAGUUGGAAUCAAUCUUCCAAGGGUUUUCUUGGGGGUGCUUGAUGAGGCUCAUGGGAGUAUUCUCUUCCUUUCUCUAUGUUCUUCUAUAGAUUAGAAAUAUUUAGUGGGGUUCUUUUUUCCUGUGUUGUAGGGGGCUUUUAAGAUUUGUUUAUGAUCCUUGAAGUGUGGGAGAAAGAAAGAUGAAUGAGAUAAUGUAUGAUCUUGUAGCUAGGGUGGUGCCUUUGCGGGUGCGCUUGCGGGCCAACCCAUCUAAUCUCAAUAAAAUUUCUUUCUUUUUGUGCGGGGAGGGUUUUUUCUCAGGGCUCUCUUUUUUUGCCUUGGGCCCUCUCCUGUGUGGUGUCUUUUUUUUUUUUUAGUGCCCUUUUCACUUUUUUACUCUUUCCGUCUCCCCUGAACAUCUGAUUUAGGGCAUGUUCUGGCGUUCCCAGUUUCUGAAGUUGACUGGAUGCCUUGCUGCCAAAUUGCAGUUGAAAAUCCUAACAGAACAUCCCUGUUCAAAUUUCAACUAUCACUUGGGCUGGGGAGGUGGGAAAACACAAUCCUCUAUUACUAUUGGUCUAUUUUCUGCACUGUCCAAACAUUAAUCACAUAUCUUGAGGCUUUGGAAGGCUUUCCAAAGCUGGGUUUGGGGAUUUGCCCAAAGGCUCCCUUUUCUGCUUGCACUUCAAGUUUCAUCACUCAGCUGCAUAGAUCACACAUAGCAACGGCAUUCAACAGCUGCAAGCCUAAAAGUUCAUCCCUGUUAUCGGAAUCCAACCAAUCAAAUUCACUGUUCCAAUCAUAAGCAUCAGGCAUGACAUUCACUCUUAUAAUCAUAAGCUUCAGGUAUGGCAGCCAUCUGGUUGCAUCGUUUUCUAUUAUGAUGGGGAUUUUGUUGGUUUUUCGGCCUAGCAUUCAAUCAUUCGCAUUGACAGGAGCCAAUGCAGUACAAUAUUAUACAUGCACAUAUCCUUUUAUAGGAAAUUUGAAUCAUAUAAUGGCUGAGGAUCAUUUGGAUGCAUGGAAAGCUCCACUUGAGAUAUUGGUGUUCAUGUCAAAGGGAUUAUUUUUUUGUUUGACUGCAACAUUGCCAAUGCACGAUGGCUUCAAUUUAGAUGGGAUGUCCUUCUCCACAUUUUAAUUCCUGUUCCAGGAGUGGAGUUUGUGAUGCAGUUCACAUGCUCUCUAUGCUGCAUACCUACUGCAGAUGUAACACGAUGGUUUGUGGCCUGGACUUUGAGAGCAUGCUCACAUUAGUUGGCUGAUUUCUUACGUGGCCUGGAUCUUGUGCACUUGUUCUAUAGGCACAUGCAUAGGUGGGCCGCACCUCUUCGCGUGUUUCUGGGUACACUCUUCAGCGAAAAAGGAUUCUCAGGAGGUUGCUUCCAAAGGCAAAUCCUCCACAUCCAUCGGCACCCUCAUCCAUGCAUCUAAAUACUUCUUGAGGCACAUGCCCAUGAGUAAAUCCUUAAUAUAUGAACAUCUUGAUUGUAAGUGAGCUUUCCAUGCUACUAAUGACCCAUAAUUUUCAUGUUGUUUCUAAUCUUUUAGCUACCAUUCAAUCUAACCGAAUUAUUAUUACCAUGCACAUGAAUCAUGAAUCAUUUAGUUGGCUUCUCAAUCCACAAAUGAAUUGAAUCGUGGGUGUGCAGUUUAAUCAUGGUGAAGUGGUAGGAAUAAAUGAUGCUUGGUAUUCAUAAUGAUGGAGUUGCCAUCAAAUUGCAGUUUCAUCUCUUUCAUCCAAUUUGAAAGCUGAACAAUUUGUGAAUGCUAAGAACAUUACAUAUUCUAUUUUAUCAGAACUAUAAUUGCAAUUCAGUUAGACAGUGCAUCUGAUUGCACCAGCAUAGUGCAGUAUUUGGAGGCAUUUUCAUAAAAUCAUUUAUACCAGACUUUGCCCAUAAACAAUGAUACUUUGUGGAUGCGUUAGUUGCCAUUUGUUACCACAUAAUCACUACAAGAACUUUGAUAUGGUAGAAGGGUUCCAUCUCCUUUGUUAGCUUGUGGUUGCUGGCAUUUAUCUGUAUCUGUGGCAUUUGCCACUUAUGAUUAUGUGGUUUCUUUAAGCAGUGAUUUCUAUUGUUGGGUGUAUUUGUGCAGUUCAGUAUCCCUAUUUAAUUGAGGUUAGGUGUUUCUAGUUGUUGUUAGUUACUUUUAAAGUUUUGGAGCAUCUUGUCUCUUCCGUGGAUGGUUGAACAUGUGGAAAGAAUCUGGAAGAAAAUGGUGAACUUGUUAAAUGAUACUGAAGUGAUUCUUCUAUCAGCGGUUGGUGAAUCAAGGGAAGCUGUGGUAGCUCCUGGAUGGACAUUAAGAAGCCAUUCGCCAGAAUAAUGUCGUUGAUCAACAAUGCGGACACAUCUGUCUGAAGACUCUUUGUAUUUCACAACUGCCUCCCUCUCUGCGCGGCUGCAUCUCUCCCUACCUGCAUAUCUGGCUGCCUACCUGCAUCUUGAUGAGUAGAUCCACAAAAAGGUGAAGAAUAGUCUAAGAGUCCCGUGAGCAUGGUUCUGAUUUGGUUACCCUGUCCAAACCCUUGCUGACUUGGACAUAUCAUUUAAGUCGCUUGAGGCUUGGUGCAGGUAAUGUUGAUGCUAAAAAUUGCUGGAGAAUUGACGGCUUGGCUGCUGCGCUGUGGGGGGUCAGAGUAUCACUCUCUUACAUAGUCAUUGUUGAAGAUGAAAGAAGAACAAGAGUGUUGAUGGUUUUGAUCAUUAUCGGCACUCAGUCAGUACCACAACUAGAUCCUGGAGAUGCCCAUGUACUUGGUUUGGACGGCUUCAGGGGUAAAAGUGGUAUCAGUUUUGGAGAAUGGUGCAUUGAAGCCUGUGCAAGAAAUUGACAGAUGCUACAGAACAGUAAGUAGCCGGAUUCUUCCUUAUCACCUUCCCUCUCUCUUCUCUGUGAAUACGUCAUCUUCCACCUUUACCGGAUAGUAAUAUUUCUUGUUGGCUUAGUAUUUUGAAAGAUUCUGAGUAGGCAACUCUUACCUGACUUUUUCAAACAACUUUUGAAGAUCCUUUUCUCAAA